rnacentral:lncRNA from 1 species
CUCUCUCUCUCUCUCUCUCUCUCUCUCUCUCUCUCUCUCUCUCUCUCUCUAUCUUCAACCCCCCGAAUUGAUUUUUCUGCUUGAUUUUAUAAACCCACAAGAAAACAGAAAAAAUAAAGGAAAAAAGGAGGAAAAAGUCACUCUUUUCAUCUCUCUUCAGCCACUUGUCCUCGAUCUCCGUGCAUCAGAAAGGCCCUGGUGGGCCCGGUGGGCCCGGUGGCCCGCCGAAGAGCGGCCCGCAGCAGUCUUGAAUGAGGAAACAGCAGCACAGGAAGUACAGGCUGCCAACAACCAUUCCACCGACCAAACGCAAUAAUUAGAUCAUUAUCACCCCUAAUAUUAAUCUUUAAAAUAAAAAUACUGCCUGUUAGAUAAAUAAAUUCUGCAUAAUAUAGGCUGGUUAGUUAAUCUAGAAUAUCUCAUCACCGUUUUCAGUAAGAAAAUGAAUAUUUGACCAUUUAUUAAACAUUUUUUUAGUGAGGGUGAUGGCCAUAAAUCUGUGAUUCAUUCACCCCUAAAAAAAGAUUUAUGCAUACAAAAUAUAUUUUUUUUUCAUGGGUGCCGGUGUCUUCUUAGCUUGAGCCGAAAAUGUGGGAUUUUCUGACGUGGAAAUUCCAAAAUUGGCUGUCUAUUUAUUGAAAAAUAGAAAUCAACGAACACAGACCAAAAUCUUGCGAAUAUUUUGACUAGAAAGCUUGGUAUCUGCCAGCUGAUGCUAACUUACCAGGAGGGAAUGCAGCCGCCGAAGAAGCCAGGGCCUCCCCCCCACCCGCCGCCCAUUCCCGGCGGCCCUCCGGGGAGCGGCGCCCAUCCGCCGCCGCCUGGCCCCCAGCCACCCGGCCCUCCGCCGCCUGGUCCCCAUCCCCCGCCACCGCCACCACCCGGCCCUCCGCCGCCACCCGGCCCUCCGCCUGGACCCAUCCUCCGCCGCCGGAGUAAACCAGAUAAGAACCCCUUCCUCUUCGCCGGUGCAGCCCGCGAGACCCGGGGCGACGCCCGCCGCUUGCUCUGAUUUGUAGUGGGUGUCUAUCUCUCUCUCUCUCUCUCUCUCUAUCUAUAUCUCUCUCUCUCUAUAUCCAUCCGACAGUCGCACCGCCGCAUGCGCCGCUCUAACCGUCCUGGGAAGCGGCGGCCCAACGGCCGGUCUCCAGCUUCCGGUCUGUCGGGAGAUCGCCAGGUCCUAUGGGGGGCAGCCACGUGGAGUUCUGCCAUUGACCUUGGCAGUCAACUGCCGAGUUGACCUGAGGCAGCUGCUAAUGGGCUCACCCGGGCAGGCCUGUAGCCCAUCAAGUCCCUCAUUCGUCCAGUUUUCGGCAAGAAUUUCUAGCAGAGUUUAUGGUUCUGGAAAUGUCUAGUUAAGGAAAAGUCAAACUUCUCCAUCGUCUGGUGAAACUGUUC